rnacentral:rRNA from 1 species
CCUACGGGAGGCAGCAGUGGGGAAUAUUGGGCAAUGGGCGCAAGCCUGACCCAGCAACGCCGCGUGAAGGAAGAAGGCUUUCGGGUUGUAAGCUUCUUUUCUGAGGGACGAAGAAAGUGACGGUAACUCAGGAAUAAGCCACGGCUAACUACGGGCCAGCAGCCGCGGUAAUACGGAGGUGGCAAGCGUUAUCCGGAUUUAUUGGGAGUAAAGGGGGUGUAGGCGGGAAAGCAAGUCAGAUGUGAAAAGUCAGGGCUCAACCCUGGGCCGGCAUUUGAAACUGUCUUUCUUGAGUGCGGGAGAGGUAAACGGAAUUCCUGGUGUAGCGGUGAAAUGCGUAGAUAUACGGAGGAACACCAGUGGCGAAGGCGGAUUGCUGGACAGUAACUGACGCUGAGGAGCGAAAGCGUGGGGAGCAAACAGGAUUAGAUACCCGUGUAGUC